UACGAAGGGGGCAAGCGUUGUUCGGAAUUACUGGGCGUAAAGGGCGCGUAGGCGGCUUAUCAAGUCAGGCGUGAAAUUCCCGGGCUCAACCUGGGGGCUGCGCUUGAUACUGAUGAGCUUGAAUGCGGGAGAGGAUAGUGGAAUUCCCAGUGUAGAGGUGAAAUUCGUAGAUAUUGGGAAGAACACCGGUGGCGAAGGCGGCUAUCUGGCCCGUAAUUGACGCUGAGACGCGAAAGCGUGGGGAGCAAACAGG
rnacentral:rRNA from 1 species